CUCGUAGGCGGUUCGUCGCGUCCGGUGUGAAAGUCCAUCGCUUAACGGUGGAUCCGCGUCGGGUACGGGCGGGCUGGAGUGCGGUAGGGGAGACUGGAAUUCCUGGUGUAGCGGUGAAAUGCGCAGAUAUCAGGAGGAACACCGAUGGCGAAGGCAGGUCUCUGGGCCACUACUGACGCUGAGAAGCGAAAGCAUGGGGAGCGAACA
rnacentral:rRNA from 1 species